rnacentral:rRNA from 1 species
GAUGAACGCUGGCGGCGUGCUUAAUACAUGCAAGUCGAACGAAGACAGUAGCAAUAUUGUCUGAGUGGCGAACGGGUGAGUAACGCGUUGGUGACCUGCCCCGAAGAGAGGGAUAACAGUCCGAAAGGAUUGCUAAUACCCCAUGUGGUCGUUUGGAUUAGAUGCCUUAUGACUAAACGGAUUUAUUCGCUUCGGGAGGGGCCUGCGUCCCAUCAGCUAGUUGGUAGGGUAAUGGCCUACCAAGGCGAUGACGGGUAGGGGACCUGAGAGGGUGGCCCCCCACAAUGGAACUGAAACACGGUCCAUACACCUACGGGUGGCAGCAGUAGGGAAUAUUGGUUAAUCUGGGAAACCGGGAACCAGCAACGCCGCGUGCACGAUGAAGGCCUUCGGGUUGUAAAGUGCUUUUUGAAAGGAUGAGGAAGGACAGUACUUUCAGAAUAAGCUUCGGCUAACUACGUGCCAGCCGCCGCAGUAACAC